rnacentral:rRNA from 1 species
UGGGGAAUAUUGGACAAUGGACGAAAGCCUGAUCCAGCCAUGCCGCGUGUGUGAAGAAGGUCUUCGGAUUGUAAAGCACUUUAAGUUGGGAGGAAGGGCAGUAAGCGAAUACCUUGCUGUUUUGACGUUACCGACAGAAUAAGCACCGCCUAACUCUGUGCCAGCAGCCGCGGUAAUACAGAGGGUGCGAGCGUUAAUCGGAUUUACUGGGCGUAAAGCGUGCGUAGGCGGCUAAUUGAGUCGGAUGUGAAAUCCCCGAGCUUAACUUGGGAAUUGCAUUCGAUACUGGUUAGCUAGAGUGUGGGAGAGGAUGGUAGAAUUCCAGGUGUAGCGGUGAAAUGCGUAGAGAUCUGGAGGAAUACCGAUGGCGAAGGCAGCCAUCUGGCCUAACACUGACGCUGAGGUACGAAAGCAUGGGGAGCAAACAGG